rnacentral:lncRNA from 1 species
UGAUGGGUUUGCAUUGACCACGUGGAUGGAGUUGGGCAUUCUGCCUGACAUGUUGGACCUUGUGACAUGCGUGCACCACAAUCAAAAUGUGUACCCACCCACAUGUUCCAACCCCUGGCCCUGUGCGUCUCUGCUCCUGUCUCCACGCCAUAGACUUCCUGCAGGUCUAUCCCCAGAAGCCACAGUGUUGAGAUUCCUCGUCUACACUCCCUCUGAUUUCUCUUUAAGAAAGAGAGCAGGUAUCUGUAACACUUGCUGGGGCAGGAAGACCAUGGAGCCUUGAGGAGAAGAAAACCAAGGCAACCAAAGCAAAAAAAGUUGGCUCUGUUUUCAGAGAAGCCUGAGAAUAAAAGUGUGACUGUAAAGCAAACAAACAAACCAAAGCUGGAAGCCGCAGUCCCACACUCGGCUGGAAUGGAGGAUUCCUCCUGCACGCUAACUUCUCAGCAACUGACUUUGGAUGGAAGUCCUGGCUGGGGAAGUGAUUCCAUCGUGGUGUUCCUUUCAACUCCAACUGACCACUUCCCAUCCCUUUAGCUGUGAGGAAGAACCAAACGUUCCCUAGCUCAACAUUUUCAGAAGGGCAUGUUCCAGUCUCCUCCUAAAACAGACUCGAGAAACAGGCCAAGUAGCAGCCUUGGCUUAACCAGCAUAGGCUCACACAAGGACAGGAAAUUCAUCUGGGCUGCUGACAUUCUGAAUAGCUGCCACCUUCGAUGCCAGGAGAGGAGGACAUCGGCAGUGUCGUUAAAUGAAAUGGAUGGUAAUUACAGAGGAGUGAGCUUCGGAAGCUCCUAAAUCUUCUCUGAGGAUGCUGCUGUCACUACUGGUAGCUCUGCUUGCCCCUCCUACACAUCCAUUGCCUUUAGCAUUAGAAAGCACUAUUGCACAACCUAAUAACUGACCCUGCGCACUUGACUGGGAUCAAAAUACCCGCAGCUGGGAAGACAGCUGUCAGUGAAGUUACGUAAGCACGGGGAUUCAUCUUCAAUAUCCAGGACCCACAUAAAAAGCCAGGGGUGGUGGUACAGUCUUGAAAUCCCAGCACUGGGGAAGCAGAGACAGGCAGGUCCCUUAAGCUCACCGGCCAACCACUAUAGCCUAAUCAGUGAGCUUCAGGUCCUCCAAGAGAGACAAGGUAGCCAGAUCCCAAGGGGUGCUACCUGAGGCUGACCUCUGGCCUUCAUAUGCAUGCACACACAUGCCCACAAAGAUCCACACAAUGUGCUCCUUUGGAAAAUCAAACCCACCCUAUACGUCUGAGGGUUUUACUCAGUCUGGACAUUACAAAGGAGUGCUGUGUCUACUAUAGUCCCAUUGACCUCCAGGGCUAAAGACUGGAAUUCUAGGCCUCAGAUAUGUUACCUUCUUUGCUCAGAGAUUGUUCUCAAAAAUUUUAAGACACUUUCUUGCUGGCAUCACCCUCUGGAUCCUUCUAUGUUGGCUUCCCAGGUUCUGGGUCUACAGAUGUCUAUAGCACCUCUGCUCUGCUUCUCGCCCAGCUUGGUGUAGAAUACAGAUGGUAUUGUGGAUGCUGGGAAGUGCUUGCUAAUGGAAACUUGAUAUGGCUGCCUCCUGAGAGAAUCUGCCAGAGCCUGACAAAUACAGAGGUGGAAGCUUGCAGCCAACCAUUGGACUGAGCGUAGGGUUCCCCGAUGGAGGAGUUGAAGAAGGGACUGAAGGAGCUGAGGGGGUUUGCAGUCACAUGGAGGGAGCAACAGUGUCAACCGGCCAGACCUGCCCCAUCCCCCCAGACCCCGGGACUGGACCACCAAACAAAGAAUACACAUGGAGGGACCCAUGGAGCUGGCUGCAUGUGUGGCAGAGAAUGGCUUUGUUGGACAUCAAUGGGAAGAGGGGUCCUAAGGGUGUAGAGGAAUGCCAGUGCAGGAAGCUAGGAGUAGGUGGGUGGGUGGGGGAGCAUCCUCAUAGAGGUAGGGGGAGGAGAGAUGGGAUGGGGGUUUCAGAAGGGAGGCCUGGAAAGGGGAAAACAUUUGAAAUGUAAAUAAAGAAAAUAUCCAUUUUUUUUAAAAGGUGAUUCCUGCGACCCUUUGGGACAAAGAGAGGAUAAGCCAACCCCUGAUCUACCAGGUGGUUGCGCUGCCAUUGCAGCUUGCCCAUAAGUCCCAGUGUUCAAAUUUGAAAGGUCUCUCAGCUCUGUGAGCUGUGCUCCUUUACCUGAGAAGGAGUAGGUAGGGCCCUUGGGCAAAUGCCCUGGGUUCCUUCAGGUUCUGAGGAGGCCAGAUUUGUCUGGCUAGGUAGGAGUUCCCCUGGCUUGCCUCUAUCGUAGGCCAGUCUGGAAAGAUGCAAGGGAGAGACAGAUUCGUUGAUGUAGGAUCUGGAUGUUGCCUGCUUUUUUAAAUAAAAGAAACAAAGAAAUAGGUCCACUCUCUCCCAGGCCCCUGGAAAAAUGUCCCAUCAUCCUCUGGGCAUCAUACAAGAACACACCCGCUGUCCUAAGGUAUGAAUGAGGCCAGUCUAGCUUUGGAACAAAUAAACACAAUGGCCUUGGG